rnacentral:rRNA from 1 species
GACGAACGCUGGCGGCGUGCUUAACACAUGCAAGUCGAACGGAAAGACCCUGCUUUUGUGGGGUGCUCGAGUGGCGAACGGGUGAGUAACACGUGAGUAACCUGCCCUUGACUUUGGGAUAACUUCAGGAAACUGGGGCUAAUACCGGAUAGGAGCUCCUGCUGCAUGGUGGGGGUUGGAAAGUUUCGGCGGUUGGGGAUGGACUCGCGGCUUAUCAGCUUGUUGGUGGGGUAGUGGCUUACCAAGGCUUUGACGGGUAGCCGGCCUGAGAGGGUGACCGGCCACAUUGGGACUGAGAUACGGCCCAGACUCAUACGGGAGGCAGCAGUGGGGAAUAUUGCACAAUGGGCGGAAGCCUGAUGCAGCAACGCCGCGUGCGGGAUGACGGCCUUCGGGUUGUAAACCGCUUUCGCCUGUGACGAAGCGUGAGUGACGGUAAUGGGUAAAGAAGCACCGGCUAACUACGUG